UACAGAGGUCUCAAGCGUUGUUCGGAUUCAUUGGGCGUAAAGGGUGCGUAGGCGGCGCGUAAGUCGGGUGUGAAAUUUCGGAGCUUAACUCCGAAACUGCAUUCGAUACUGGCGUGCUUGAGGACUGGAGAGGAGACUGGAAUUCAUGGUGUAGCAGUGAAAUGCGUAGAGAUCAUGAGGAAGACCAGUGGCGAAGGCGGGUCUCUGGACAGUUCCUGACACUGAGACACGAAGGCCAGGGGAGCAAACGGG
rnacentral:rRNA from 1 species